UUCGACCUCAAAUCAGGUAGGACUACCCGCUGAACUUAAGCAUAUCAAUAAGCGGAGGAAAAGAAACCAACAGGGAUUGCCUUAGUAGCGGCGAGUGAAGCGGCAAAAGCUCAAAUUUGAAAUCUGGCACUUUCAGUGUCCGAGUUGUAAUUUGAAGAAGGUAUCUUUGGGUCUGGCUCUUGUCUAUGUUUCUUGGAA
rnacentral:rRNA from 1 species